UAUAAAGUUCCCCUAUUUGCCUGGUCUCAACAAAAAGAUUUCUGGACUUGUUAGACAGUGUGCGGAGGAUGUCAGACUGGUUUUCUACAGUUUGUUUUCCUGUAAGUCACUUUUCACCAAGUUAAAGUGUAAGGAAUCAAUUUUACAGAGCAGCAACCUCGUAUAUAAGAUCCCAUGCAUUGAUUGCCCAAAGUGCUAUGUGGGCCAGACGAGGCAACUCUUGGAGAAAAGGAUAAAACAGCACAAAUACAAUUGUAAUGGUAAUUUUAAAUUUGAUGACAACAAGACAGCCCUGGCACAUCAUCACUUUCAAAGUGAUCAUAAUUUUGAUUUUGACAAUGUGUCCGUCCUAGAUUAUGAAUGUAAUCAACUCAAAAGAAAUAUCAGCGAAAUGAUAUAUAUAAAAUUGAAUAAUACAGUGAACAAUAGGACGGACACACAAAAUUUGAGUUUGGUUUAUAAUAAUAUUUUAGAACUUUAUAAAACCGUGAUUACCUGACGAUAUUUUGUAAUCCGUUUAUCUACGACAGGUUGUCAUAGUUCUUGCGCUGGUCCCAUGUGGAAAUUUAUUUUCAUUCCGAAGUCGUCAUAAUAUGUGAAACAAGGUGUCUUCAAUCUAAGAAUUGUCUGAGCUGAACUCUCGAAUUUCCAAUGCAUCACUGGCUGUUCGUGAAAAAUAUCAAUAUCUUGUGGAAAACAUGAUUAUGGCUCUGCCCUGAAGAAGCAAAUAUACUUUGCGAAACGUUG